rnacentral:rRNA from 1 species
GACGAACGCUGGCGGCGUGCCUAACACAUGCAAGUCGAACGGAAAGGCCCCUUUGGGGUUCCUUGAGUGGCGAACGGUGGAGUAACACGUGAGUAACCUGCCCUUGAUAUUUGGUCAACUUCAGGAAACUGGGGCUAAUACCGGUUAUGCAUCCUUGCUGCUAGGUGGGGGUUGGAAAGCUCCGGGGGCCUUGGAUGGAGUCGUGGCCUAUUAGCUUGUUGGCGGGGUAGUGGCUUACCAAGGCUUUGACGGGAAGCCGGCCUGAUAGGGCGACCGGACACAUUGGGACUGAGAGACGGCCCAGACUCCUACGGGAGGCAGCAGGGGGGAAUAUUGCACAAUGGGCGGAAGCGUGAGGCAACAACGCCGCGGGCGGGAAGAGGGCCUUCGUGUUGAAAGACGCGUUCAGCAGGGGCGAAGCGUGUGGUGACGGUACCUGCAGGAGAAGGACCGGCUAAAUACGUG